rnacentral:rRNA from 1 species
CACGUACUGUGCGAACGUUAUUCGGAAUCACUGGGCUUAAAGGGUGCGUAGGCGGCGAUUCAAGUCAGGUGUGAAAUGUCUGAGCUCAACUGAGGCAUUGCGCUUGAAACUGAAUUGCUAGAGUAUCUUAGGGGUGUGCGGAACUGCCAGUGGAACGGUGAAAUGUGUUGAUAUUGGCAGGAACUCCGGAGGCGAAAGCGGCACACUGGAGGAUAACUGACGCUGAGGCACGAAAGCCAAGGGAGCAAACGGGAUUAGAUGCCCCGGUAGUCUUGUCCGUAAACGAUGAGCACUGGGCGGGAGGGGAUUUCCCUUUUCUGCCGUAGCGAAAGCGUUAAGUGCUCCGCCUGGGGAGUAUGGUCGCAAGGCUG